GGAUGAACGCUAGCGACAGGCCUAACACAUGCAAGUCGAGGGGCAGCACAUGAGUAGCAAUACGAUGGUGGCGACCGGCGCACGGGUGAGUAACACGUAUGCAACCUACCUGUAAAUGGGGAAUAACCCGGAGAAAUUCGGACUAUCACCGCAUAAUACUGUUUAUUCGCAUGAAUGAGCAGUUAAAUAUUUAUAGUUUACAGAUGGGCAUGCGUAUGAUUAGAUAGUUGGUAGGGUAACGGCCUACCAAGUCUACGAUCAUUAGGGGUUCUGAGAGGAAGGUCCCCCACACUGGUACUGAGACACGGACCAGACUCCUACGGGAGGCAGCAGUGAGGAAUAUUGGUCAAUGGGCGAGAGCCUGAACCAGCCAAGUCGCGUGAAGGAAGAAGGUUCUAUGGAUUGUAAACUUCUUUUGCAGGGGAAUAAAGUUCGCUACGUGUAGCGUUUUGUAUGUACCUUGCGAAUAAGGAUCGGCUAACUCCGUGCCAGCAGCCGCGGUAAUACGGAGGAUCCGAGCGUUAUCCGGAUUUAUUGGGUUUAAAGGGUGCGUAGGUGGGCCUAUAAGUCAGUGGUGAAAGUUUUCAGCUCAACUGAAAAAUUGCCGUUGAAACUGUNNNUCUUGAGUGCAAAUGAGGUAGGCGGAAUGUGUUGUGUAGCGGUGAAAUGCAUAGAUAUAACACAGAACUCCAAUUGCGAAGGCAGCUUACUGGGAUGCAACUGACACUGAGGCACGAAAGCGUGGGUAUCAAACAGGAUUAGAUACCCUGGUAGUCCACACUGUAAACGAUGAUAACUCACUGCCGGCGAUACACAGUCGGUGGCCAAGCGAAAGCGAUAAGUUAUCCACCUGGGGAGUACGACCGCAAGGUUGAAACUCAAAGGAAUUGACGGGGGCCCGCACAAGCGGAGGAACAUGUGGUUUAAUUCGAUGAUACGCGAGGAACCUUACCCGGGCUCGAACGGUGCAUGAAUAAGCAAGAGAUUGUUUAGUCCUUCGGGACAUGUAUCGAGGUGCUGCAUGGUUGUCGUCAGCUCGUGCCGUGAGGUGUCGGCUUAAGUGCCAUAACGAGCGCAACCCUUGUUGUUAGUUACCAACAGGUAAAGCUGGGGACUCUAACGAGACUGCCACCGUAAGGUGUGAGGAAGGGGGGGAUGACGUCAAAUCAGCACGGCCCUUAUGUCCGGGGCGACACACGUGUUACAAUGGGGGAUACAGAGGGCAGCCAUCCGGUGACGGAGCGCCAAUCUCCAAAACCCUUCUCAGUUCGGAUUGGAGUCUGCAACCCGACUCCAUGAAGUUGGAUUCGCUAGUAAUCGCGCAUCAGCCAUGGCGCGGUGAAUACGUUCCCGGGCCU
rnacentral:rRNA from 1 species